CAAAAGCCUGGUCCUGACUUUACUUUCAGUUCUAACCUAACUUACACAUGCAAGUACCCGCACCCCCGUGAGAAUGCUCUCCAUCUCCCUGCCCGGAGAAGAGACGCCGGCAUCAGGCACACCCCCCAGUAGCCCAAGACGCCUUGCCUAGCCACACCCCCAAGGGAACUCAGCAGUGAUAAACAUUAAGCAAUGAGCGAAAGCUUGACUUAGUUAAGGCUAAACAGAGCCGGUAAAACUCGUGCCAGCCACCGCGGUUAUACGAGAGGCUCAAAUUGAUACUCAACGGCGUAAAGUGUGAUUAGAGAAAAUAUAAACUAAAGCCAAACACGUCCCAAGCUGUCAUACGCUAACGGAACCAGAGGCCCUUUAAUGAAAAUAGCUUUAAAAUCCUUGAACUCACGACCAUUAGGAAACAAACUGGGAUUAGAUACCCCAUUAUGCUUAAUAGUAAACAACGAUGAUAUUUUACAAAAACAUCCGCCAGGGAACUACGAGCACUAGCUUAAAACCCAAAGGACUUGGCGGUGCCUCAAACCCACCUAGAGGAGCCUGUUCUAUAACCGAUAAUCCCCGUUAAACCUCACCACUCCUUGUCAACCCAGCCUAUAUACCGCCGUCGCCAGCUUACCUCAUGAGAGACUAACAGUAAGCCAAAUGGGUCACGCCCAAAACGUCAGGUCGAGGUGUAGCGAACGGAGUGGGAAGAAAUGGGCUACAUUUUCUGACCCAGAACACCACGAAAAGUGCCAUGAAAAAUCACAAUUGAAGGUGGAUUUAGCAGUAAAAAGAAAAUAGAGAGUUCUUUUGAAGCCGGCUCUGAGGCGCGUACACACCGCCCGUCACUCUCCUCGAAACAAGAAGAGAAAUUUUUAAUAAGCUAAAAAGCAAAAGAGGAGGCAAGUCGUAACAUGGUAAGCGUACCGGAAGGUGCGCUUGGAUAAACU
rnacentral:ncRNA from 1 species